rnacentral:ncRNA from 3 species
UCGAGCUGUAUGCUGGGAAACUCGCACGUACAGUUCCUCGGGGGCCGCGUUUCCGAGAGGAGACGUGGCUACCCAAU